rnacentral:siRNA from 1 species
CUAACGGCGUGCCUCGGCAU